AUAAGAUAUGUAGGGCAGUAGGUGGAUGCCUUGGCGACGGACGGCGAUGAAGGACGUAGUAAGUUGCGAUAAGCCUCGGGGAGCCGCUAAACUGGCUGUGAUCCGGGGAUUUCCGAAUGGGAAAACCUGACCAAGCAAACCUUGGUCAUAUUAUUGUGAAUACAUAGCAAUAAUAGGCUAACGAGGGGAAGUGAAACAUCUCAGUACCCUCAGGAAAAGAAAUCAAAAGAGAUUCCCCUAGUGGCGGCGAGCGAAAGGGGAAGAGCCCAAACCAGAGAGAACUUGUUCUUUCUGGGGUUGUGGGACCUUAACGUGGGACCUUGCGAAGUAGUAGAACAGAUUGGAAAGUCUGACCAUAGAGAGUGAUAGUCUCGUAUACGAAACUUCAAGAGGCCCUAGAGGUAUCCCGAGUACUCCGGAACACGAGAAAUUUUGGAGGAAUCUGGGUGGACCACCAUCCAAGGCUAAAUACGUGCCGUCGACCGAUAGUGAACGAGUACCGUGAGGGAAAGGUGAAAAGAACCCCGAUGAGGGGAGUGAAAUAGAAUCUGAAACCAACUGCCUGUAACCAGUGGAAGGGCUAUGUCCUGAGCUUGCUCAGGAAACGCCUGACCGCGUGCCUUUUGCCUAAUGAGCCGGCGAGUUAUCCUCAGUGGCAAGAUUAAGCCGAUAGGUGUAGUCGUAGCGAAAGCGAGUCUGAAUAGGGCGUUUAGUCACUGGGGAUAGACCCGAAGCUAGUCGAUCUAUCCAUGGCCAGGGUGAAGCAGAGAGAAAACCUUUGUGGAGGCCCGAACCGCUCAGGGGUGAAAACCUGUCGGAUGAGCUGUGGAUCGGAGUGAAAGGCUAAUCAAGACUAGUGAUAGCUGGUUCUCCCCGAAAUAUAUUUAGGUAUAGCCUCACGUGAUGGUGGAUGGGGGUAGAGCACUGAAUGGGCUAGGGGGUUGAAAGAUCUACCAAACCCAAUCAAACUCCGAAUGCCGACGGGUUCAGUAUGGGAGUCAGUCAGUGGGAGAGAAGUUCCAUUGGCGAGAGGGAAACACCCCAGAUCGUCAGCUAAGGCCCCCAAAUCUAGACUAAGUGGUAAAGGAUGUAAGUUCGCAUAAACAGCCAGGAGGUAGACUUAGAAGCAGUCAUCCUUGAAAGAAAGCGUAACAGCUCACUGGUCGACGCAAACUUGCGCCGAAAAUGAAUCGGGGCUCAAGUCUAGUGCCGAAGCUACGGGUUGUACUUAAUGUACAGCGGUAGGGGAGCGUUCCCAACAGGUUGAAGGGCUACCGUAAGGAGGCCUGGACAGUUGGGAAGUGAGAAUGCCGGCAUGAGUAGCGAUAAAAGUGGUGAGAAUCCACUUCGCCGAAAACCCAAGGUUUCCUGGGCAAGGCUCGUCCUCCCAGGGUGAGUCGGGACCUAAGGCGAGGCCGAAAGGCGUAGUCGAUGGAAAACGGGUUAAUAUUCCCGUACCACUCUAUUUGAGUGAUGGGGUGACGGAGAAGGGUAGGUCAGCCGGGUGAUGGAUAUCCUGGUUUAAGCUAGUAGGAGGAAGAGACAGGAAAAUCCGUUUCUUCUUAACUCCGAGAAGCGAGUACGAGAGACUUUGGUCUCAUAAAGUGAUUGAUCCCAUGCUUCCAAGAAAAGCCUCUAAACGUUGAUAAUAGAGUGCCCGUACCGUAAACGGACACACGUGGGUGAGUUGAGAAUACUAAGGCGCGUGAGAGAACUCUGGUUAAGGAACUCGGCAAAUUAGCCCCGUAACUUCGGAAUAAGGGGCGCCCAGAUGUAUGUGAAAGCCUUCGCGGCUUGUGCAGAAAUCGGUUGCAAUAAAGAGGGGGUGGCGACUGUUUACUAAAAAACACAGGGCUCUGCUAACACGUAAGUGGAUGUAUAGGGUCUGACACCUGCCCGGUGCCGGACGGUUAAGAGGACUUGUUAUCUUCGGAGAAGCUCGGAAUCGAAGCCCCGGUAAACGGCGGCCGUAACUAUAACUGUCCUAAGGUAGCGAAAUUCCUUGUCGGGUAAGUUCCGACCUGCAUGAA
rnacentral:rRNA from 1 species